rnacentral:rRNA from 1 species
UACGUAGGGUGCGAGCGUUAAUCGGAAUUACUGGGCGUAAAGCGCGCGUAGGUGGUCAAGUGAGUCUGAUGUGAAAGCCCCGGGCUUAACCUGGGAACUGCAUUGGAUACUGCUUGACUCGAGUGUGGUAGAGGGUGGUGGAAUUCUAGGUGUAGCGGUGAAAUGCGUAGAUAUCUGGAGGAACCCCAAUGGCGAAGGCAACCACCUGGGCCAACACUGACACUGAGGUGCGAAAGCGUGGGGAGCAAACAGG